AGCUGGUAAUGAGAAGUAUUAUAUUGCUUGUGCACAUCCAUACGUGCAAAACUUUCAGAAAAUAUUGUGAAACGUACAAAAUCGCAUUCAAAUACAGUUGUACAACUGUGUGAAGUCAGUGUUAAUUUAUUUAAUGUAGAAUAACAUUGACUAUAUAUUAAUUGGAGAUAUUAGGUGUGAUAUACAUGUAACAUGCACUAGAUAUCCAAGUUAGCUGACCUCUUUUAUUUUUCAAAGGGUCAUAAAGGUGGUCAAGAAAUAAAUUGCCAUCAGACAGCAGCAUUCCUUGAUUUAGAUGCAUUUCUCUUCAUGCCCUCUCCUGAAAGAUUGUCCAUGAUGCCUCAGGGUUAGGAUUGGGAUGCAAGAUGUACAGUACAUAUAUAUGAUGUCUAUGGGUACAUUGCUGUAAUGGCCUGAAAAAUCUUUUGCGAAACCGAGAAAUGUUCAUCUUCCAUUGCCUUGAUUGUGUAAAAGGACGAGCAGAGGAAUGAUUCAAAAAUAUAUGGCAGGAUUGAGAAUCUAACCCAUGACCCGUAGUCUGGUACUCUACCCACUGAUCAAUCCAUGCUGAUGGUCCAUCUGCUACAUUGAUGUCAUCUUAUAUAUUUAUUUAUUCAUUUAUAUCAUAUGGACAUUUAAAAGUUGACAGUAAAAUAAAAAAAAGUUUGAUAUUCAGCAAAAUAAAAUUUGUUACAAUACAUGUUUAAGAAAUUAAGUACAUGUACAUGCAUUGUUAUGCAUACAAUUAUGUACAUGUAAUUAUAUUUGUUAAUAGAUAACUUUUUAGAUGAAUUUUCAUGUUGUUAUUGAUAUUGACAUGUACAUGUAUUACUUCCAUUUCUAGAAUGAUUUUAACAUCUUGAUAUUAAAAAGAUGACAUAAUAAAUAAAUCUUAAAUAUU